UAGCAACUGAAUAACUGCUGAAUUUUGUCAA
rnacentral:piRNA from 1 species